CAGCUUGCUUGUUUCGCUGACGAGUGGCGGACGGGUGAGUAAUGUCUGGGAAACUGCCUGAUGGAGGGGGAUAACUACUGGAAACGGUAGCUAAUACCGCAUAACGUCGCAAGACCAAAGAGGGGGACCUUCGGGCCUCUUGCCAUCGGAUGUGCCCAGAUGGGAUUAGCUAGUAGGUGGGGUAACGGCUCACCUAGGCGACGAUCCCUAGCUGGUCUGAGAGGAUGACCAGCCACACUGGAACUGAGACACGGUCCAGACUCCUACGGGAGGCAGCAGUGGGGAAUAUUGCACAAUGGGCGCAAGCCUGAUGCAGCCAUGCCGCGUGUAUGAAGAAGGCCUUCGGGUUGUAAAGUACUUUCAGCGGGGAGGAAGGGAGUAAAGUUAAUACCUUUGCUCAUUGACGUUACCCGCAGAAGAAGCACCGGCUAACUCCGUGCCAGCAGCCGCGGUAAUACGGAGGGUGCAAGCGUUAAUCGGAAUUACUGGGCGUAAAGCGCACGCAGGCGGUUUGUUAAGUCAGAUGUGAAAUCCCCGGGCUCAACCUGGGAACUGCAUCUGAUACUGGCAAGCUUGAGUCUCGUAGAGGGGGGUAGAAUUCCAUGUGGUAG
rnacentral:rRNA from 1 species